AACGCACAUUGCGCCCGCCAGUAUUCUGGCGGGCAUGCCUGUCCGAGCGUCAUUUCAACCCUCAAGCCCCCCGGGGCCUGGUGUUGGGGACCGGCCGCCCGUCCGCGGCGGCCGCCCCCGAAAUGCAGUGGCGACCUCGCCGCAGCCUCCCCUGCGUAGUAGCACAACCUCGCACCGGAGCGCGGAGACGGUCACGCCGUUAAACGCCCAACUCUCAAGAGUUGACCUCGGAUCAGGUAGGAAUACCCGCUGAACUUAA
rnacentral:misc_RNA from 1 species